UCGUCAGCUCGUGUCGUGAGAUGUUGGGUUAAGUCCCGCAACGAGCGCAACCCCUGUCGUGUGUUGUAUCACUCACACGAUACUGCCGAGAGAAACUCGGAGGAAGGCGGGGAUGACGUCAAGUCAGCAUGGCCCUUAUGUCUUGGGCUACACCCACGCUACAAUGGCCGGUACAACGGGCUUGCUAAGCCGCGAGGCGGAGCGAAUCCCAAAAAGCCGGUCUCAGUUCGGAUUGAGGUCUGCAACUCGACCUCAUGAAGUUGGAGUUGCUAGUAAUCGUAGAUCAGCAACGCUACGGUGAAUACGUUCCCGGGGCUUGUACACACCGCCCGUCACGUCACGAAAUCGGUAACACCCAAAACCAGUGGUCCAACCGUAAGGG
rnacentral:rRNA from 1 species